rnacentral:rRNA from 1 species
UGGGGAAUAUUGGACAAUGGGGGGAACCCUGAUCCAGCCAUGCCGCGUGUGUGAAGAAGGCCUUAUGGUUGUAAAGCACUUUAAGCGAGGAGGAGGGUACUGGUAUUAAUACUACCAGCUACUGGACGUUACUCGCAGAAUAAGCACCGGCUAACUCUGUGCCAGCAGCCGCGGUAAUACAGAGGGUGCGAGCGUUAAUCGGAUUUACUGGGCGUAAAGCGUGCGUAGGCGGCUAAUUGAGUCGGAUGUGAAAUCCCCGAGCUUAACUUGGGAACUGCAUUCGAUACUGGUUAGCUAGAGUGUGGGAGAGGAUGGUAGAAUUCCAGGUGUAGCGGAGAAAUGCGUAGAGAUCUGGAGGAAUACCGAUGGCGAAGGCAGCCAUCUGGCCUAACACUGACGCUGAGGUACGAAAGCAUGGGGAGCAAACAGG